CAAUCAUAUAUGCAGCAAGGUAGUACAAAUGUGUCAUUUUCCAACAUUUGGAGACACCAAUAGCAUUUGCAGCUAGAUUUGUUGGCAUUUUAAAAACAAGAAAGUGACUCGAAAAAGAAGGAAGAAAAGCAUGGCUUUCUGACUACUUAAUUGCGCAUGGUUGGAAGGAUCUCAGACGUUUAAUCAACGUGCUUACCGAUCACAUCACGUUGACCAAAUCGUAACCACCGGAUAUUUUAGAAAGCCACAGGUUUGGGCAAAGGAAAGAUCACGGAGAAUUUGGAAGGAAAAAAACAAACAGACUCGAAUUGCUUUUACAAGAAGCCACGUAACAGCUCUAGAAAACAUGACAAUUGCAUGACUAACAGCUCUACCUUCUUCCUCAUCAAGAAAUGCAUGCUCAUAAAGAAAACCCACAUUAACUUUCAAUACAGUUCAUCAACACGUUGUUCUAAUUCCCAAUAGUAACAGAAAAAAUAAAAUACGGCGAGCAAGGGAAUUCACAAAUAAAUUUGUGCUCCAAUAUCUUGUCAGCGAUCAAACGAGCCAACAUGCCCGACAAGGAAUCAGAUUCCAUCGCAUCAGCCAUAUCUCAAGUUUAACAUUACAGCCAAUCCGUUACCCAAAAAAAAAAUGCAGCCAACUAAGCAGGCAGGUAGAAUUUAUUGAGAUUCGACGCUCCAGUAGGCUCAGGAGCACGGGAGGAAGGUUGGAAAAAGCAAAAGCGUCAGGCCGAAUUCACGCCCACCCACCCGGAAUCCCGUUACAUCGCCGCACCGAAAGCACCAAAUGCAAUCGCUCACCCGUGAUCCCAAUUCCAGCGCAACAUGAAGAACCAGACAAAUCACAUCGAAACGAACGGGAACAAAGGAACGUUUUUUUUUCUUCCUCGAACGACAAGCUGGCAGGGAGAUCGACGGGGGAUCGCGACCAUAACAACGAAAACAAAAAAAAACAGAGAUUUUUUUCACACUGCAUUCCAACCUGAACAACGAAGGAGCAAGCAACAGCGGGUGAGGAAACAAACGCACAGAGAUCGGGCCGGCGCGCGGCGGCCGCACCGGCCGGCGG
rnacentral:lncRNA from 1 species